UAACCUGCCCAAGAGAUCGGGAUAACACCUGGAAACAGAUGCUAAUACCGGAUAACAACAGAUGAUGCCUAUCAACUGUUUAAAAGAUGGUUCUGCUAUCACUCUUGGAUGGACCUGCGGUGCAUUAGCUAGUUGGUAGGGUAACGGCCUACCAAGGCAUGAUGCAUAGCCGAGUUGAGAGACUGAUCGGCCACAUUGGGACUGAGACACGGCCCAAACUCCUACGGGAGGCAGCAGUU
rnacentral:rRNA from 1 species